GAACACGAACACAGACUAAAUAAUAGUAUUUAGUUGUUUCGAACUCCAAGGUGUUUAAUUAUUUCAGGAGGUGGUUUCAUUUCAGAUUUAAUUCAGUUUGAUUUGAUAGUUUUUGCAGCAAGUGGUUUCGACAUUAAUUGUGUUUUGUUUGUUAAAGUUAUUUUGCUGUUAUCAGUGUUGGCAGAUUAUCUUUACAAUUAUUGUUUUAAAGUGCUAAUAUGUUAGAUAUAUUUGAAAAUAAUUUAAUUUAUUUUCUUGUAAAAGUUACUAAAACGUUUGAACACAUAAAAAAUUUUUAGCUCUAUUGAUAUUAAGAAAUGCUUUAAAUAUUCAUGGAAAUCCUGUUUACCUUAUCGCAAAUUAAUAGUUUACAAACAACUUUACACGUACAGUUCGAUGUCUAUACUUUUCGCGUAUUUGCUUAAAAAUAAUUUUAGAACUAUUGUAGACUUAAAUUGAGAGAAGAUGGAAGUGUCUAAUGAAAUAAAAGAGGACAUACGCAAAACGCAAUCAGACCUAAAGAAUGCGAUUCGUAUACAUCAGAUAUGGGUUGCCCGUUUGCAAGAAAACGAAAAUAAUGUUCAUGUGAAAAAUAAAGUUGUUGAAGCUGAAAAGGAUAUAGUUUCUAUAAGUCAUGCUCAGAAAUUAGUAGUGGACAGACUUCGUAGAGAGUUGGAAUUGUACCAACAACGUCUGAGAGUCCGAAACAGACAGGUCAAUGUGGAAAAUGACAACAAAUAUGUCGCACAACAAUUAAGAGACCAUCAACUGCAGUAUCGUAAUAGAAACCGAACAUCAUCUCUACUUAAACCCUCAGUUUUAAACGAGAUACAAAUAAAAACUGAAAAUAUUAACAAUGACUUAAAUAGUAUAUCCGAUUCAGACAAUGAAAACAAAUAUAAUGAAAAGGAGAACACACAUAACAGUGAAAGAGAUGAAAGGGAUAAAUAUCAGAGGAGUUUUGCACAGCUCACAAGUAAUGUACAUGACAGCAGAAACAAUUUUGCCAAUGCUCUAAACAAAGUGAAGGAGUCUUUUAAUGGUAACAAGAUCCAAGACGAUGAAUGGCACGAGGCGCACUCAGACUCGGAUUCAUCGCAAGAUAUAUCUCCAACUCCGUCGCCACCUCCGUUGCCUGAACCUGGUGAACCUAUUACUAAGGAAGUUUUCAUGAGGCUCAUUGGUCUAAUUACGCCAACACAGAAAGACAUAUUGGAGAGAAAGAGAAAUGAAAGACGUAAAAGAUCUGCAAAUAGUACAAAUAAGAAUGAUUUAUUCUAUAGCAACUAUGAAAUGUUUCCGAAACGCAAGAAAUAUAACCAAUUUCCAUAUUUACAAAGUCACAGCGAUCCACCUCAAACGCGCUCCGCAAAACUGCGCAAACAGCAGAGCCAAAACAAAUCUUCGCGCGAAGGUUCGCCUUCAGGAUCGUCAUCCGAGAAUAAAGCAGGUUGGAGCAAUUCGAAACCAGCCUGGGUGACGUCAUUGCCAGUCGGGCUUUCUGUGGAGCCGGUCGUAUAUGCUCCUACUAAAAAAGUCUGCCAUGGAUGUGGAAGAAAUGACGUGCCAUCACUGCUGGUGUGGUGCGCGGCGUGCGCCGUGUGGCAGCACACGGGCUGCGGUGCGGAGGGCUGCUGCGCGAGCUGCGGCGCGCCGCUGCCCGACCCCGCCGCCUGCGCCAGCGCGCCGCCGCACAACCUCGACUUGUAUAGAGGUGAGGUGUGAGUGAGGACUGUCUGUAGACGUGCCGGCGCUGCUGGUGCGGUGCGUGUGGCAGCACACGGGCUGCGGCGCGGAGGGCUGCUGCGCGAGCUGCGGCGCGCCGCUGCCCGACCCCGCCGCCUGCGCCAGCGCGCCGCCGCACAACCUCGACUUGUAUAGAGGUGAGGUGUGAGUGAGGACUGUCUGUAGACGUGCCGGCGCUGCUGGUGCGGUGCGUGUGGCAGCACACGGGCUGCGGCGCGGAGGGCUGCUGCGCGAGCUGCGGCGCGCCGCUGCCCGACCCCGCCGCCUGCGCCAGCGCGCCGCCGCACAACCUCGACUUGUAUAGAGACAAACUCGCAGAACGGAAACGCUUGCAAGAGAGAAACAUCGAACUGUGUGAAGACUUGCGUAAACUAGAAGCGCGGGCGGCGAGUUUGAAGGACAAUUUAGACGAACACAACGCCGAGAAGCGACAGCUGUUAGCGGACCAAAUAAAAACACAGAGAAACCUCCACAAGUUGUUAGACUUUAUAAGCCAAUUCAAGGAAACGUCCAUUAGAAUCAGAUCGACUUCAGUCAGCGAGUCUGGCAGUGAAGUUAGUAAAAGCAACGAAGAAUAAAAAGAUGUUCAUAGUCGUAAAUGUUGGGAUAUUAUAUUAAUUGUUAUGCUGUUUUGUGGUAGAAUAUUUCAAAUUGAAAUAUGUAGUAGAAAUUUUUAUACGUACUUAAGUAUAGAUUAUUUUAAUAAGGAAAUAAAAAAAAGAACAUAUCACGAUAACUUCAUUGGUAUUUUAUUGUCGCCAUUAAUUUGUCAAAUUUUUAUGUUUGAAUAACAACUAAUGAAGUGGAAUUAAUUAAUUUUCAUGCUUAAAAUAAUUUUAUUGUUUUAGUGUGGUUUUUUUUACAAAGUUUUUAAUUUUAAUCAGUUGAGGUUUCAAUAAACUUUGUUUUAUUUUUGUAUCAUAAUAAAAUAUUCUUUUAAAAAUUGAUUAGUGUAAAUCAAUUCAGAGGCUGCUAGUAAAGUAGGAUAUAUCUAUAUUUUAUUAUUAUCUCAACAAUUUCACACUUUGUGUAGAGAAGUCACUAAACAACUGAUUAGGGCGCUUUUUGACCCACUUCAAAAAGGUUUUCAAUUCGAUUGGUAUGUAUUUUCUAUGUACUCCUGGAC